CAUCAAUAUAUUUUUUGGAGCAUAAUUGAAGAUGUUACCAGAUUUGGGCUUCAAUUUCAUGGCAGUGACUGAAGAAGAAUGACGUCAUGGGUGAGUUAUUAACUAUAUAUAUUGCAAUCAUAUUUUUGAUUUAUUCGUUUUCUUUUGGGCUGUUCGCUUGUAUUCUCUUGGGUUGAUUCUUCCAUUAAACAGGUCAAAACCCAGUCAAUUUAUUCAGCAAUUGGCCAAUUGGGUUCGCCGAUUUCGUCCAGCAGUUGACGUAAGAUGCCACUCUGUCAAACUAACUCUUAUUUUUAUUGCGUUUUUUUUUAAUAUAGAAAAUCCCGACCCAUCAGGUCACACCACCAUAUCCAAAGAAUCUAAUUCUUCAUUAAACCUCAUAACAAUCUAAUUACCUUCCUAAAAUAGAAUCAUGUAAAAUUGAAUAAAAAAAUGAUCUCAAUCUUACUAUGUAUAACUUAGUUACUUUUGACGUCUUCUCUAUCGUUUCGUUCUCUCUUCGUAUCUUCCUUCCAUCCUUAUUUUUCUGGUUUUCUUAUUCAGUAGAUGGUUCUUCUGUUUGUUGCUCGACGGACCAUUCUGUCUUGCUUCGAAGAUCAGAUACGUUCAUUGCCGUCUUCAGGUAAUAAAUCAGAUUAAUUUUAGUUGUAAUUAAUUAAUCAAUGGUUAAUUUUGUAUUUGAUCAUUCAAUCUUUUCAGCAUCAACUUGGGUUUACAAUCAGUGAUUGUUCUUAUAAUGUUGAUGAAGAAAGUUAUAGGUGCAGUGAGUAAAGGAAUGCAGUGAACAAAAUGAAGUAGAUGAUGAUGAUAAUAAUGAUGAUGAUAACAAUGAUGAUGAUGAUAACAAUGAUGAUGAUAACAAUGAUGAUGAUAACAAUGAUGAUGAUGAUAACAAUGAUGAUGAUAACAAUGAUGAUGAUAACAAUGAUGAUGAUGACAAUGAUGGAGGAGAUGAUAAAGUUAUUGAAGUAGAAGAUGAACUUCAAGUCUUCAACCACUAAAGAAAAGGAUGAAGUGGUUAAAAAGGUUUUAUGAAUCUUGAAGAUUGAAAUGUUGGUUUUUAAUAUUUCCACCCAUUUUGAAUAAAAAUAUUAAUAAUAUUCGACGCUCGACAAAAUGGUUUUAAUUUACGAAUAUUUUUGUCUCGUUCUUGUAAAUUGCCAUACAAAUCUUUUCCAACGAACAACGACGUUUCUCCAAAGUCCAAAACAAC
rnacentral:lncRNA from 1 species